UACGUAGGGUCCGAGCGUUGUCCGGAAUUAUUGGGCGUAAAGAGCUCGUAGGCGGUUUGUCGCGUCCGCUGUGAAAUCCCGAGGCUCAACCUCGGGCCUGCAGUGGGUACGGGCAGACUGGAGUGCGGUAGGGGAGAAUGGAAUUCCUGGUGUAGCGGUGGAAUGCGCAGAUAUCAGGAGGAACACCGAUGGCGAAGGCAGUUCUCUGGGCCGUAACUGACGCUGAGGAGCGAAAGCGUGGGGAGCGAACAGG
rnacentral:rRNA from 1 species